AUGGAUGGUCGUAUUCUGCUGGUGAAGCAUGUGCUCUCUGCGAUGGUGGUUUUUCAGAUGAUGGUAAUUCAAAUGCCGGUGUGGUUGCGGAAGAAGAUUGAUAAGCUCAGGAGAGGCUUUCUCUGGGAAGGAAAAGAAUUUGCAGUGGGCGGCAAAUGUCUGGUGAGCUGGCGCAUAAUUUGCAGGCCAAUGAUCUUCGGAGGGCUGGGGAUGACGGACUUGACUGCGCAGAGCACGGCGUUGAGGCUGAGAUGGUUGUGGAUGUCGUGGACGGACCCAAGCAAGGCCUGGUUGGGGCUG
rnacentral:rRNA from 1 species